AUUGAACGCUGGCGGCAGGCCUAACACAUGCAAGUCGAGCGGAUGAAGGGAGCUUGCUCCUGUAUUCAGCGGCGGACGGGUGAGUAAUGCCUAGGAAUCUGCCUGGUAGUGGGGGAUAACGUCCGGAAACGGGCGCUAAUACCGCAUACGUCCUGAGGGAGAAAGUGGGGGAUCUUCGGACCUCACGCUAUCAGAUGAGCCUAGGUCGGAUUAGCUAGUUGGUGGGGUAAAGGCCUACCAAGGCGACGAUCCGUAACUGGUCUGAGAGGAUGAUCAGUCACACUGGAACUGAGACACGGUCCAGACUCCUACGGGAGGCAGCAGUGGGGAAUAUUGGACGAUGGGCGAAAGCCUGAUCCAGCCAUGCCGCGUGUGUGAAGAAGGUCUUCGGAUUGUAAAGCACUUUAAGUUGGGAGGAAGGGCAGUAAGUUAAUACCUUGCUGUUUUGACGUUACCAACAGAAUAAGCACCGGCUAACUUCGUG
rnacentral:rRNA from 1 species